GGCCUCGCUGUGGGCCUGGUUCUGCUGGGAGCUGUGGCUGGAGCUGUGAUGAGGGGGAGGAGGCGCUCAGGUGGGAACAGAGGGAGCUAUGCUCAGGCUGCCACGUGAGGCAGCUGCCUUGUGGGGACUGAGUGAUGGAAGAUGUUCACGCUCCCACUUCCUGACUCAAGAACCUCUGAGUGGGACUGGCCCCG